GUCAGAGGUGGAAGUGCAGUAAUGCAUGUAGCUGACUGAUACUAAUAGGUCGAGGGCUUGACCAAG
rnacentral:rRNA from 1 species